rnacentral:rRNA from 1 species
UACGUAGGGGGCAAGCGUUGUCCGGAAUCAUUGGGCGUAAAGAGCGCGUAGGCGGUCCGGUAAGUCCGCUCUGAAAGUCCGGGGCUCAACCCCGGGAGGCGGGCGGAUACUGUCGGGCUAGAGUCCGGAAGAGGCGAGUGGAAUUCCUGGUGUAGCGGUGAAAUGCGCAGACAUCAGGAGGAACACCAAUGGCGAAGGCAGCUCGCUGGGACGUGACUGACGCUGAGACGCGAAAGCGUGGGGAGCGAACAGG